CGUCUAGGCGGACAGGUAAGUCAGAUGUGAAAACCCCCGGCUCAACCGGGGACCUGCAUUUGAUACUGCCAGUCUUGAGUACGGAAGAGGAAAGCGGAAUUCCUGGUGUAGCGGUGAAAUGCGUAGAUAUCAGGAAGAACACCGGUGGCGAAGGCGGCUUUCUGGUCCGAUACUGACGCUAAAGCGCGAAAGUGUGGGGAGCAAACA
rnacentral:rRNA from 1 species